rnacentral:lncRNA from 1 species
UCAAUUAGUUCAAAUAGUACAUCCAGACCAAACAUUCUAAAUGCCAAACCAUUAUAAACAAUCCCAAUCUAGUUUUACUUAACAAACAUAAAUAUUGCAAAAUAUAUACAAUUUUUCAAUAACUCUUCAAGACUUGCAUUCUGCCAUACAAUUAUAGAUGAAUAUAUUACUAUCCUUAAUUCAUUUAACGUUCCAGACCAAACAAUAUCCUUAAUUUAACACUUAUAUCAUCAUUCUUUCCACCCUUAAUCCAAUUUCAGAAUUCAUCAUUAAUUUCAAGCAAUACCUAAUUCUCAAUUCCACCCAACCACCAUUCAUCCUUCUUCAUUAAAACCAAUCAUAUCAUUUAAUAUACUACCACACCCAAUUGUUUACUGGUCUAUAAUAUUGAGAAGAUUCCAUGUGUUACCAACAUACAUUACCAUUUUAAUCUGAAUGAUAGAAAUAGCCCUAUAAGCUUUGGCCCAAAUACUGAUGUGUUGAAUGAGCCUAGUGAUUCCAGCAGAGGG